UACAGAGGUCCCAAGCGUUGUUCGGAUUCAUUGGGCGAAAAGGGUGCGUAGGCGGCGCGGUAAGUCGGGUGUGAAAUCUCGGGGCUUAACUCCGAAACUGCAUUCGAUACUGCCGUGCUUGAGGACUGGAGAGGAGACUGGAAUUUACGGUGUAGCGGUGAAAUGCGUAGAUAUCGUAAGGAAGACCAGUGGCGAAGGCGGGUCUCUGGACAGUACCUGACGCUGAGGCACGAAGGCCAGGGGAGCAAACGGG
rnacentral:rRNA from 1 species